rnacentral:rRNA from 1 species
UACGAAGGGGGCUAGCGUUGUUCGGAAUUACUGGGCGUAAAGCGCGCGCAGGCGGCUUGUCGCGUCGGCUGUGAAAACCUGGGGCUCAACCCCGGGCCUGCAGCCGAUACGGGCAAGCUAGAAUUCGGUAGGGGAGACUGGAAUUCCUGGUGUAGCGGUGAAAUGCGCAGAUAUCAGGAGGAACACCGGUGGCGAAGGCGGGUCUCUGGGCCGAUAUUGACGCUGAGGAGCGAAAGCGUGGGGAGCGAACAGG